CGGGACGGGUGGGUAAUGUCUGGGAAACUGCCUGAUGGAGGGGGGUAACUACUGGAAACGGUAGCUAAUACCGCAUAACGUCGCAAGACCAAAGAGGGGGACCUCGGGCCUCUUGCCAUCGGAUGUGCCCAGAUGGGAUUAGCUAGUAGGUGGGGUAACGGCUCACCUAGGCGACGAUCCCUAGCUGGUCUGAGAGGAUGACCAGCCACACUGGAACUGAGACACGGUCCAG
rnacentral:rRNA from 1 species